UACGUAGGGUGCAAGCGUUAAUCGGAAUUACUGGGCGUAAAGCGUGCGCAGGCGGUGAUGUAAGACAGAUGUGAAAUCCCCGGGCUCAACCUGGGAACUGCAUUUGUGACUGCAUCGCUGGAGUGCGGCAGAGGGGGAUGGAAUUCCGCGUGUAGCAGUGAAAUGCGUAGAUAUGCGGAGGAACACCGAUGGCGAAGGCAAUCCCCUGGGCCUGGACUGACGCUCAUGCACGAAAGCGUGGGGAGCAAACAGG
rnacentral:rRNA from 1 species